rnacentral:misc_RNA from 1 species
CUAGUUACCGUAGUUACCUUCCUCGAAAUUAACGAAGACUUGUCAGUUGCAUCUGGGAACUAAGGUUUUCAGCCCACGUGAAUAUCCUGCCUUCGUUUUUGCAUAAAGUAAUCCUCAAUUAUUUUCUGGGCACUGAUUGUCACAUCGUAAAACGACGCCAUUUACAAGAAAUCAAAUAAUCCAACUCGGCCCUGGUAACACAAAAUCGUGGGAUGAACGUAGUCAGUCGUGCUACGCCAUCUUUUAUCAGGAUUGAUUCAUGGAAGGAUAAAAGCUACUAAAAUUCAUUUGAAAGGGGAAAGAAUGUCGGGCAUCCAAGCGUAAUGAGGAUUGAUGAAUAGAAAUUAUGUAGAAACUACUGUUAGGCAAAGAAAUGCUUUUUCAACAGUUUGCAUUGAUGGCGGAAGACCUCAAGGAGAAAUCGAUUCGGUGGUGAUUAUUUUUCGCACAAGUGAAAAGUAAAACAAUUCUCUUGUUUUCUCUGAUGGGCUCGCUGAACGUUAGGUAAAAACCACAGUAUUUUCUUUUUGUUUUGUUUUUCACACGCAAGUCUAACACCGAAAUGUCAGCUUGAGAUGGGCUAGUCAUCCUGAAUCGGUAUAAAACAUCGUGAUGUUUUCUGUAAAAAGCAUCAGUUGCAUUCAGCAAAGACAACCGAAGACAACAGCGUCAUCUUAGCCAACAUGAAGAUCGUUAUCAUUGCUGCUAUCCUGUCCUUAGUUUCAUGCCAAGCACCAUAUUACCAACCAACGCACACUCCUUAUCCAGAAUACAAACCGGAGUACCAGGGAAACCCAUCAUACCAACCGGAGUACCACGCUACCCCUUCAUACAAACCGGAUUAUCCGGUACCGGCUUACAAACCUACGUAUCCUGAAUACAACAAACCAGCUUACCACGAGCCAACGUAUGCCUAUCAAGGCCCAUCAUACAGACCAUCGUACCCCAAGCCUGCCUACAAACCUGAAUACGAACCUUCAUAUCCUGAAUAUCAACCCUAUUCUCCACCUAAGUAUCCCUCUUACUAAACCUACUGGUGGACAAUUAAAAUGAAGGAUUAGGAAGGAUUAGCAAACAAUCUUUCAUAUCUAAUGAUGUAAUAGCAAAAAUAAUUCCUUUUUAUGUUUAAAUAAAUUUAAAAGUCUAUAUCACGUAAAA